UGACAUUCAAAUGUCACUUUUUCGAAACAAAAACCUCUUUCCCCUCAAAAUUCCUCAAACUCGUCCUCGGCAGAUUCAUCAUCGGCGCUAAAGGUUGACUGGUUCUGCCUAUUAAACUCUGCCGCACAGCUGGGAUCUUGCCUCGUGGUGCAAAUACCAUGGGUAAGAGCCAUAUAUGGACACCGGCGACACUUGUUGUGGCCCUCCACCUUGAGGCACAAUCCAGUAUCGUCUCCCUGGUAUAAACACUGGACGAGGUCCAACAGUCGCCUGUCCUCGGGUCUUCGAACCACCAUCAUCAUGGACAAGCUCAGCUUCUUUAUCUGUCUCAGUGAUCUUGGUGCUCCCACCAUAUGCCCUAGUGAUAGACUCCUCUGCAUGUUCGAGAAGCCACUGAAUUGUUUC
rnacentral:lncRNA from 1 species